rnacentral:rRNA from 1 species
GCAGGCUGAAAUUCGCCUGCAUGAAGCCGGAAUUGCUAGUAAUGGCAGGUCAGCAUACUGCCGUGAAUACGUUCCCGGGCCCUUGUACACACCGCCCGUCACACCAUGAGAGUUGGGGAUACCCGAAGCCUGUGAGCCAACAGUUAAAUGAGGCAGCAGUCGAAGGUAGAAUCAAUGAUUGGGGUGAAGUCGUAACAAGGUAAC